UUUUCCUUCAUCAACAAAAGUACGUGCAUGAGCUACUCGAGCGCGCUAGCAUGCUUAAUUGCAAGGCUGGUUGAGCAUGGUUUUUAUUGCAUGUAUAUCUGGCAGAUAUGAUCUUUUGUAUUUACUUCCUAGCUUAGCAAUAUCUCCCGAUCCUUUCCUUGUAUAGCGGAUACGAUUGAGAUCCCGCAGCCCAUGUACUCUAUAUGCUAUGGCAUAUGAGCAAUACAAUUAUCAAUGCAAAAACUACGCAAGAAAAAAUCAUCAAUGCAAAAAUUGUCAUCCUACAACUAAAUCAACAGCUCAAAAAAGAACUUAAAUCAAUAGUAGUAUUCCUUUUGUCUUGUACCGAGGGGGCAUCUCAACACUUUAAAGCUCGUGUGCAAUGCAAGAUUCUUCUUUCUUCUUUUGAAAUAUCGGGCGCGUGAUCUUAAUUGCUUAUUACUAAGAGAUCUCUAUUACUCCCCCGAUGUUAAUGAUUAUUUGCUUAUUAGUACUCUCUUCAUUUUUAAAUAUAAGGUUUUUAGACGUUUUAAAUGGACUACAACAUACGGAUGUAUGUAGACAUAUCUUAGGGUGUAGAUUCAUUCAUUUUGCUCCGUAUGUAGUCAUUUGUUGAAAUCUCUAAAAAAAACUUAUAUUUAGAAACGGAGGGAGUACUAAUGAUUACGGAUCCCCUGUUAUCUAACCGGGAUCCUCUGCUUCAAGUAGUAGUAUCGUCAUCGUCUUGACAGCCAUCACUCUCCAAUCCCAAUGGAUCAUUUGGCCAUAGUCGUCGCACUCGUUGUUGCCGCCUCGUCCAUUGCCAUCCACCUCCUCAUCAGGGCCAAGAAACACAUGGCCGGACAACCUGCCCCCGGGCUCCCUGGGCCUGCCGGUGAUCGGCCAGAGCUUCGGCCUCCUUCAGGCCAUGCGUGGAGGCGACGGCGGCAGCCGGUGGGUACAAGACCGGAUCGAUAGGUACGGGCCCGUGUCGAAGCUGUCGCUGUUCGGCACGCCGACGGUGCUCCUGGCCGGACCAGCGGCGAACAAGUUCCUGUUCUUCAGCAGCGCGCUUUCGACACGGCAGCCACGGUCCGUGCAGCGGAUACUCGGCGAGAACAGCAUCCUGGACCUCCACGGCGCCGACCACCGGCGCGUCCGCGGCGCUCUGCUCGAGUUCCUCAGGCCGGACAUGCUCAAGAUGUACGUGGGCAGGAUCGACGCCGAGGUGCGGCGCCAUGUCGAGGAGAACUGGGCCGGCCGCGGGACGGUGACGGUGCUGCCGCUGAUGAAGCGGCUGACGUUCGACAUCAUCUCCGCGCUGCUCUUCGGCCUGCAGAGGGGCGCUGUGCGGGACGCGCUGGCCGGCGACUUCGCGCACAUGAUGAAGGGCAUGUGGGCUAUCCCGGCGAACCUGCCGUUCACGGCGUUCAGCCGGAGCCUCAAGGCCAGCGGCAGAGCCCGUCGGGUGCUGGCGGGGAUCACGCGGGAGAAGAAGGCCGGCCGGCGCCAGCCGGAGCACGGCAAGGCGCCCCGGAGCAACGACCUCAUAACCUGCCUGCUCGGCCUGACGGACAGCCAUGGCGAGCGGCUGCUGAGCGACGAGGAGAUCGUGGACAACGCCAUGGUCGCCCUCAUCGCCGGCCACGACACGUCGUCCAUCCUCAUGACGUUCAUGGUCCGCCACCUCGCCAACGAUGAUGCCACGCUCGCUGCCAUGGUCCAAGAGCAUGAAGAGAUCGCCAUGAACAAAGCCGAGGGAGAGGCUCUCACCUGGGAAGAUCUGACGAAGAUGAAGUUCACAUGGCGAGUCGCGCAGGAGAUCCUUCGCAUCGUCCCUCCGAUCUUCGGCAACUUCAGAAGAGCGCUGGAGGACGUCGAGUUCGACGGCUACCUAAUCCCAAAAGGAUGGCAGGUCAGUUGCUGCUUAGCUACCACAGUCGUCGGAGGCGGAGAAAUUACCUGACCUGAAAGCUUUCAGGUGUUCUGGACGGCGAACGUGACGCACAUGGACGCGAGCAUCUUCCACGAGCCGGCCAAGUUCGACCCGUCCCGGUUCGAGAACCAGGCCGCGUCGGCGGCGGCGCCGUGCUCCUUCGUCGCCUUCGGGGGCGGCCCGAGGAUAUGCCCCGGCAUAGAGUUCUCUCGGAUCGAGACGCUGGUGACGAUGCACCACCUUGUGAGGCACUUCAGAUGGAAGCUAUGCUGCAAGGAGAACACCUUCGUGAGGGACCCCAUGCCGUCGCCGCUGCGUGGCCUACCCAUCCAAAUCGAGCAGAGGACCUCCGCUCCACCGUGACGAGGCUUCACCGCAAUCUCGGUAUCAUCGUCGGUCGGAUUGCACUAGAAAAUGUAGCUGCUCGGUGAUGGGUAAUAAAUCAACAUCUUUUCACUAUCAUGACUUUUCUUGUCUGCCACAUAUAUUUAAUUCAAGAUAAGUACUCGAAUUUGGUGUUUUAUGGGCAGCUCCAACACCG
rnacentral:rRNA from 1 species